rnacentral:lncRNA from 1 species
GUUCAGCCUCCGUCCAGGCGGUGGCGGUAGAUCAAAUCACAUGUACUCCUGAGGGUAGGGGGGAGGUCAGUGAACCCGAACAACCCGGGUGUGAAAGAAGCAGCCUGAGCGGGGUUUGGACGCUGAUCUUUUCUUUAACAUUAUUCUGAUGCGACAUGGAUUGCUUCUCCUAGAGUUUUUAUUUUAUCCAGAGUUAACGCAGUUAAGUCUGAAACGGUCAUUUUGUUUCACCGUUACCUCGUUGGAAAAGUGGACUCUUCCGUGCUAAAGAUUUAGGACACGCGGUUUCAUCCGAGCUCCUGUUGAAGGAUGUCCUCGAGGCAGUGGGACAACUACGCCGACUGGCUGGAGGAGAAAUCCCGAGAUUUACGGCGCGAUUCCUCCCAGAAAUAUUACAGAGAAGGACACGAAUACAGGAGUAAGGAGCACAGGAAAGAUCCGUCUGGCAGGGACCGGAAGAGGAGUACGGAGCGGAGACGAGCGUCCUCGCCUGACCGGGAAGCUUUAGAUAAGAAAUGGUUAGCUGAGGAGAAGAAUUACAGAUACAGGAGGGAGUCUGUGGGAGGGAAACAAUCACUAGAGACUUACAGAGAUACAGACCUCAGGUAUAGAAGAACGUCUCCAGAUUCCAGACACGCGUAUCGCCACCACGACGCUACAAGCAAACAACAACAAGGCAGUGAUCCGACCUACAGGAGGUUGACUGAUGGUCACAGAGGUGGCGACAGGAGUUACGAUUACCCAGUGAAUCACUCUGCAAAGGUCAGUCCUUGUAUGCACGAUGAAGCUUUUUCUCUUUUCUUUAUCCUCAUAAAGUCCAUUUUUGUGUUAAGCAGAGAAAUGUGAAACCCAGAGAAAGGUCAAACAGUCCGUCUGCAGCAACGUUUCGUGAAGACCGUCCUAAAGAUAGAUGUAAAUAUGGACAGAAUGGAUCUGACAAGCAGGCUGUCUUACCUGCAGUGAACCAUGAAUUUUCGAUCGUGGGAAGGCUUUCACCAAGCCAUGCAGGCCCAUAUGGGCCGGAAUCCCUUCAAUGGAGCUAAUAACAACAGUACCUUUGGGACCGUUUUAGGAUAUAAUUUUAACAGUCCAUAUUACAUGUACUCUGCUGUGGAAUCGUACAGAACGGCUUGGGGUGUUGGGAACACCUCAAAUAGUUUUCUUGGCUGCCAAAGCCCUGUAUAUCCUAUCCUGGUUAACUGUGACAUGGAACACUUGAGAUAUGCUUCCCUGGAACCACAACACAGCAGCGGGACAGUGCAAACCCUGCCACAAAGUGAGGACAGUACAUACUCCAGAUAUCCUCCUGUUGAAACACAACACAGCAGCAGGACAGUGCAAACCCUGCCACAAAGUGAGGACAGUACAUACUCCAGAUAUCCUCCUGUUGAACCACAACACAGCAGCAGCAGGACUGUAGAAUCCACUGUUUCAUCAUUCCAACCAACCAGCAACAGUGAGGAGCUGAGAUCAGGUUCCUGUAACAGUGAGGACUCCGAUAGAGACGGGAUAAAGGAGGAUUUGGAUGCUGAGCUGCUGAGGAAAAAGAACAAGCUCAGAGAAAUAGAAGAGCAGAUACUGAAACUUAAAGCCACCAUUGGGUAUGAAGCAACAGACACCGUCAUGAACACAGCAGAUAGUUUACAUCUCAAUCCUUCUCUAAGAGUCCGAGUGAUGGAGCUUUUACUGCAGAGACAUUCUCCUGGCUUCUUCUCAAAGGCUGAUAGAAUGAGGAUAAACCCGUCGAACCCAAGCAAAGAGAGUCGUCAUUCUCUGCAGUCCAGAGUGAAGGCUCUGAUUGAGCAGAAGAACAAGGAUCCCUCUGCUUUACUCGCCUUUAGGAAGGAGUUCACUGUUGAUCACAAAAGAGUUGUCGUCUCCCAGGACUACAACAUCUCUCCAUCGCCACCUCCUCCCAGUAAGAGCCAGGACUACAACGUCUCUCCAUCUUCUCCACCUCCCAGUAAGAGCCAGGAUUACGUCUCUCCAUCUCCAUCUCCACCUCCUCCCAGUAAGAGCCAGGAUUACGUCUCUCCAUCUCCAUCUCCACCUCCUCCCAGUAAGAGCCAGGACUAUAACGUCUCUCCAUCUCCAUCUCCACCUCCUCCCAGUAAGAGCCAGGACUACAACGUCUCUCCAUCUCCAUCUCCUCCACCUCCCAGCAAGAGCCUGGACUACAACGUCUCUCCAUCUCCACCUCCUGCCAGUAAGAGCCAGGAAUACAACGUCUCUCCAUCUCCACCUAUUGCCAGUAAGAGCACCAGUCCACCAGCAGAAAGUGAAAGCACCAGCAGCAGAGGUUUUGAACGCUUCCUCAACAUUCUCAACAAAGGGGUCGACCUGGACCUGCUCAGUCGGAUCGUCACUGAUGACACGGUGGAACUUCCGGACGACGAUGAAAUCCUGAGCGUCCGUCAGCUUGAUGUCGAAGAUGCCUCACAGACAGAUGUUCUUAGUGAGAUCCAGCAGGUAGAGAGGGACACGGAGGUGGAGUCACAGAGAGGGGAGCGCCACCUGCAUGAGGACGAUAGAGAGAGGAGCUCUGGAAGUCGAUCCAAGUCUCCCAGCUCAGGAAAGAGGAGAGAGAAGACGGAAGAGGAAGUGAGGAAGGUGGACGAACAACAGCAGCAGCAGCAGCAGCAGCAGCUGCAGAACGUCCUGAGAGCUCUGGGGAUGAGCCUGGAGGCGGACGAGCUCAGUCAGCUGAGCGAGCGCACACAGGAGCGUCUGUACGGGAGGAAGACCGAGAGGAGAGCAGAGCCGGAACGCCACACGACACCAGUCCACACGGAAUACAGCCGCCCCUCCUCUUCAUCAUACUCCACAUCUUCCAACGCUUCCCGUUCUCGCUUGUGGUCCACCUCUAGAAGAUCCAGCCCAAGCCCACAGCAGGGCGGAGACUUGGAGCAGCGUGGCUGUGGUUCUGGUUCUUGGGGUAGAAGCUCUGGACAGUGGUCCAGGAGCAGAAGUAUGGACGAACAUGAGUGGAUGAAUGAGAGCGAGGCGGGUGAAGAAGCAGCAAACUACAAGCUUCCCUAUUCACACACUCAACCCUACCCCUCCCCCUCCACACAUGUGGCUCCAUUCUCUGGACAGGGGUCCAGGAGCAGAAGUAUGGACGAACAUGAGUGGAGGAAUGAGAGCGAGGCGGGUGAAGAAGCAGCAAACUACGAGCUUCCCUAUUCACACACUCAACCCUACCCCUCCCCCUCUACACAUGUGGCUCCGUUCUCUGGACAGUGGUCCAGGAGCAGAACUAUGGACGAACAUGAGUGGAGGAAUGAGAGCGAGGCGGGUGAAGAAGCAGCAAACUAUGAGCUUCCCGAUUCACACACUCAACCCUACCCCUCCCCCUCCACACAUGUGGCUCCGUUCUCUGGACAGGGGUCCAGGAGCAGAACUAUGGACGAACAUGAGUGGAGGAAUGAGAGCGAGGCGGGUGAAGAAGCAGCAAACUACGAGCUUCCCUAUUCACACACUCAACCCUACCCCUCCCCCUCCACACAUGUGGCUCCGUUCUCUGGACAGUGGUCCAGUAGCAGAAGUAUGGACGAACAUGAGUGGAUGAAUGACAGCGAGGCGGGUGAAGAAGCAGCAAACUACGAGCUUCCCUAUUCACACACUCAACCCUACCCCUCCCCCUCCACACAUGUGGCUCCGUUCUCUGGCUACACUUCAUCCCAGUACGACAGCACCACUCAUCCUCCUUACUGGUCUGACGGUUUUUUGCCUCCUUUCUCCCAGAGCACUGCUCUCCAGAGGGGUCCGUACGGUCCCCGUUACGCACAAAGCAUCAGUUAUGAAAGCAACCCCAACCUGGCCGAGAGCGAAGGCCGGAGCUUGUCUGCCUCACACAAUCACUGCCUGACGACCAUCGGCAUGCAGCCGCCGCUGCUGCCGUCGCCGCUGCUGCCGCCGCUUCACCCAAAUUUUGUGUUGGCCACUUACCGCAGGUACAAAAAGAGGGGGCGGAAGAAGCGAAGGUGCAACAAGAAGAACCCGGAGGGGCUGAUGGGGGUGAAUUCGAUGAGGCCUGAAAUUAAAAUACCAAGACAAGAAGAGGAAGGGCAGAAAGAGAAGCCGUACAAGAUGGUGAUGAAUCUGCACACGGAGGUGGAAAUCAAAGCCAACCUGGAGGAAAAUCUCGAAGCGUUCAACCAGAAGGCGAAGACCAACAACCACCAGCUGCUGUAGUCCCUCCUCCAGCCAUUUACCCCAACUCUCUGAUGGACUGAGGUCGUCUUUGAGGACUUUUCUUUGGACCUGCUCUUGUUUUUGACGCCUCACGAACUUCAGAUUAAACUCCAAACUUUCUAACUGGCCACAUUUUUCAUGUUUCAUGUUAUUUCUCCUGAUGAAGUCAGUCUGCUGCUCUGUGUACAUAAGAUUUUUUUCUGUGUGUUAAUUUCUGUAUUUGUUUCUCCUUCUUUAAUAAGAAAAAUAAAAUCACUUUGUUUUGAUGUAGUUUGGUAAAC